rnacentral:rRNA from 1 species
AGUGGCGGACGGGUGAGUAACGCGUGAGAAUCUGCCUUGGGGUCGGGGACAACCACUGGAAACGGUGGCUAAUACCGGAUAAGCCGAUUGGUGAAAGAUUUAUUGCCCGAAGAGGAGCUCGCGUCUGAUUAGCUAGUUGGUGAGGUAAGAGCUCACCAAGGCAGCGAUCAGUAGCUGGUCUGAGAGGACGAUCAGCCACACUGGGACUGAGACACGGCCCAGACUCCUACGGGAGGCAGCAGUGGGGAAUUUUCCGCAAUGGGCGAAAGCCUGACGGAGCAAGACCGCGUGAGGGAGGAAGGCUCUUGGGUUGUAAACCUCUUUUCUCAGGGAAGAAGCUCUGACGGUACCUGAGGAAUCAGCCUCGGCUAACUCCGUGCCAGCAGCCGCGGUAAUACGGAGGAGGCAAGCGUUAUCCGGAAUUAUUGGGCGUAAAGCGUCCGCAGGUGGCGAUUCAAGUCUGCUGUCAAAGCACGGGGCUUAACUCCGUAAAGGCAGUGGAAACUGAAUAGCUAGAGUGCCGUAGGGGUAGAGGGAAUUCCCGGUGUAGCUGUGAAAUGCGUAGAGAUCGGGAAGAACAUCGGUGGCGAAAGCGCUCUACUGGACGGCAACUGACACUCAGGGACGAAAGCUAGGGGAGCGAAUGGGAUUAGAUACCCC